CUUCUGGCCUUUUGGGGGAAGCAGACACAGGCAGUGACCAGAGUGUGACCUGCACUGUGACAGAGGGAAGGAGGCACCUGGGCUGGGAGAAGCUGGAGCAGGUGGCAUCUGCUCUGCUUCAAGGAGCAGGAAGAGCCACAUGGGAGGACCUGGGAAGCCUCUCAGAGAAGCCUCAGCUGAAGAAAUAAAAGUUCUCAAAGGCUUCCUUCCGACCUGUUGAGAGGUAGGGCUGCCACUGUUUGCCAGGUGGUAGUGGCUGUCUCCUCCCUACUGCCCGACUUUCCCAGAGCCUGGAGACCUACCUGCUCCUCGUCCUGGAUUUGGCAUUGGCUCACCUUGGACAAGUCUGUCCCCUUUCGGGGCCUCAGUCUCCCCAUCUCUAUGCUGAGGGGGUUGGACUUCAGGGCUCGCCUCGGUGCCUUCUACUACUUCCCCCAAACCUCAUGCCCCCACCAUGCCCAGGGUAUUCAUCUUGAGAUCAAUCCCCAGUAAACCUCCUGCUAGCAAAUAUGUGUCUCAAAAUCUCCUUCCCCAGGAACCCCAGCUGUGACAGCCAUCACUGAGGGAUGUCAGUGAAGGUGGACAUCUCAUCAAGGGGUCAAAGAGAGACCCCUGCUUUUGGAAGUGGCUCUGCCCAAUGUGAGAAUGAAAUGCAGGGAGCCACUGGAGUCCAAAAGCCAGUGGGGAGCUUGUGCCAGCUUAGCAGAGGAGUGAGAGGGAUGGAUUGGGGGAGUCAGAGAAUUGUCAGACAGGGGACAGACUGGGUAUGGAAGCUGCCUGGAUCAUCUGGGCAGAGGUCAGAUCAUCUGGUUAGAUCAUCUGGGAGCCAAUUCCUGGGAUGGAUUUAAUGGAACUCAGUUCAGUUUGGGUGUGGAGAGCAUGCCUUGCCCAUAAGACACCUGGAGAUUAACCAGCACCUGGCAGUUUACAAAGCAUUUACUCACACCCAUUAGUUUAAUAUGGGCACCAACCAGUCAGAAGGGCCACCAGCGCCCUGGAGACCCUCUAUUGGGCCAGAUGUUAACCCGUUAGUUGCUGAAUCAUGGGGACAGUGGGUGAUGUGCUGGGCGGGAGGGGCACUCAGGGGGCUCUGAGCAGCAGCUAUUUACCAAGCAGUAAGUUAGAAUCUUUGUAGGUCAGCUGAAUAACAGCCCUACUGGCUCCUCGUAUAAUCCUCAUAGGAAUCUGCUGAGGCAGAUACUAUAAUCCCUUCUUAAAAAGAGGAAACCAGGGCUCAGUGAGGUGAAUGACUUGCCAAAAAUCUGACAGCUCCUAAACAGUAGAGCUGGAGUUGAAAACAGGUCUGUCCGACCCUGCAGCCCGUGCCUAUAAUUGCUGCAGUGGGGAUCAGAACCUGGAGAUCUUGGCUCUUCAGUCAGGGCCUUUCCCCCUUGUUUACACGGCCACUUCCCGCAGUGAAUUCCAGAACUUGUUUUCACAAGCCAAUAUCUCCUUCUAAGAAAUGGUACUGAGAGUGUCCAGACCCGUGGGAGUGGUGGGGUGGAACAGGAAAGCCCAGUGCCAUGCACAGGGGAAUUUCCAGACCUGGGGAUCCCCCAGCACCUGGUUUGGAACCCGGGCGUGUGUGGGAAGGCUCCUGGCCUCUCCAAUGGAUAGCACCUCCCCAGUGGCCGAAGGAGACCUAGGGGGCAGCUGUUCACCACCUCCAACCUGUUCCCUCCAGAGACAUGGGCUCCCUGUGAAGCAGUGAGCAUCUUGUUCCUCUGGAGCAUGGCU